GUGCUCUGAUGCUUAUUGCACCACAUGUGUUUUUCUUUGAAACAAACUUGCUUUGGCGGUGGGCCCAGCCUGCCGCCAGAGGUCUAAACUUACAACCAAUUUUUUAUCAACUUGUCACACCAGAUUAUUACUUAAUAGUCAAAACUUUCAACAACGGAUCUCUUGGUUCUCGCAUCGAUGAAGAACGCAGCGAAAUGCGAUACGUAAUAUGAAUUGCAGAUAUUCGUGAAUCAUCGAAUCUUUGAACGCACAUUGCGCCCUCUGGUAUUCCGGAGGGCAUGCCUGUUUGAGCGUCGUUUCUCCCUCAAACCGCUGGGUUUGGUGUUGAGCAAUACGACUUGGGUUUGCUUGAAAGACGGUAGUGGUAAGGCGGGAUCGCUUUGACAAUGGCUUAGGUCUAACCAAAAACAUUGCUUGCGGCGGUAACGUCCACCACGUAUAUCUUCAAACUUUGACCUCAAAUCAGGUAGGACUACCCGCUGAACUUAAGCAUAUCAA
rnacentral:rRNA from 1 species